UUUCCGUAGGUGAACCUGUGGAAAGAUCAUUGUAGAGUUCCUUUUCAAACCGAUGUGAAGUUGUACAAAUACCCAUCGAGAACUAAUCGUUUUUGCUGUAAGCACUUGCGUUGUUUAGAUGGGUUCCCUUUGCUGCCUUCAUCUUUUCUUCAUUUGAAGUGAGAAGUAGAGUAGAAAUAAAAGACCGGCACGGUUUGUGCCAAGGAUAGUUGUUGAUGGAGUACAUUGCCAUCUUUUUGAUGUCUUUGUGUAAUUCUACGAGCAUAUACGUAUGAAUGACUCCUGGCAAUGGAUAUCUUGGCUCUC
rnacentral:misc_RNA from 1 species